rnacentral:rRNA from 1 species
AGAGUUUGAUCCUGGCUCAGGAUGAACGCUGGCGGCGUGCUUAACACAUGCAAGUCGAACGAUGAAGCCCAGCUUGCUGGGUGGAUUAGUGGCGAACGGGUGAGUAACACGUGAGCAACCUGCCCCUGACUCUGGGAUAAGCGCUGGAAACGGUGUCUAAUACUGGAUAUGUCCCAUCACCGCAUGGUGUGUGGGUGGAAAGAUUUUUCGGUUGGGGAUGGGCUCGCGGCCUAUCAGCUUGUUGGUGAGGUAAUGGCUCACCAAGGCGUCGACGGGUAGCCGGCCUGAGAGGGUGACCGGCCACACUGGGACUGAGACACGGCCCAGACUCCUACGGGAGGCAGCAGUGGGGAAUAUCGCACAAUGGGCGCAAGCCUGAUGCAGCAACGCCGCGUGAGGGAUGACGGCCUUCGGGUUGUAAACCUCUUUUAGCAGGGAAGAAGCGAGAGUGACGGUACCUGCAGAAAAAGCACCGGCUAACUACGUGCCAGCAGCCGCGGUAAUACGUAGGGUGCAAGCGUUAUCCGGAAUUAUUGGGCGUAAAGAGCUCGUAGGCGGUUUGUCGCGUCUGCUGUGAAAUUCCGAGGCUCAACCUCGGGCUUGCAGUGGGUACGGGCAGACUAGAGUGCGGUAGGGGAGAUUGGAAUUCCUGGUGUAGCGGUGGAAUGCGCAGAUAUCAGGAGGAACACCGAUGGCGAAGGCAGAUCUCUGGGCCGUAACUGACGCUGAGGAGCGAAAGGGUGGGGAGCAAACAGGCUUAGAUACCCUGGUAGUCCACCCCGUAAACGUUGGGAACUAGUUGUGGGGUCCUUUCCACGGAUUCCGUGACGCAGCUUAACGCAUUAAGU